GUGAAUCAUCGAAUUUUUGAACGCAAAUUGCACUCUCCUCGGAGAGUAUGCCUGUUUGAGGGUCAGCCUAUAAAAAAUCGACAUCGUUGCUGUUUCACGGUGACGUUCGUCGGAAAUUGGGUCAUCUUAAAUCUUUUGGGUUUAAGCGACUUAAAAUUUUUUUUUUGUUUCCUUGAAGUUUUUUCUAGGUUUUUUUUCUUUCACCGUUUAAG
rnacentral:misc_RNA from 1 species